CGCACGUGCGCACGCGCCCAAGGCCCCAGUUGGGCCGGAGGCUUCGAUAAGAGAGGAGCUCUGUUCGCGAGCUCCUCUCUAAAGUCUUCUAACUUGGACCAACAGGGACCUGAAGGAAGCUGGAGGGGAGGGAAGCAUACAACCAAACACUCGUUUCGUCAAAGAUGUCAGCAUAACAGGAGCACCAGCACAUAACUCUCCACAGGUCCGUCAAAGCAAGACAGGAAUAACCAGCAAUGCGAGAGAAUUUGGGAUGUUAAUUCACUGGCCCUACCCUAGUGAGGGGGAAAGAGCAAAGACAUUUCUGAGGCAAAAUGGUUUUGCCAGGCAGCAGCUGGGAGUUUCAUCGCCUACUUACUGUUUGAUGGAGAGAGCAAUAUCCCAAAGAAAGGCCCUUUUUAGGGUCCAAAUUUUCACUCCCCUCAGACCUCCCGAGUGUGGGAGCCUCAGGCCGGGCUGCUGCCUGUUGGCAGAACAGCUGCUGCUGCCGUCAGAUGGUCAGGCUGAAACCUGAGGACCGAGGGUUCUUCAGGUAGCAUCAUCCUCUCUCAGCUUUGGCACUCACCCUUCUGGGCAGCUGGUCAAGUGUCAGACGGUUCCUGCAACCCUGCAGCUCCAUCUCGUAGUGCAGGGUGGAUGGUACAACCAUCUGAGAAUGCACAGAAAAAGGAAUAUCCACAUGUUCUGUGCUCGGCCCCAUAGCAGUGGGGUCCUUACAAACACUUGGGCAUUCUGGAGUUUUGACCCUCACCAAAUAUAAUAUACAGCCUCCAGUCUCCAUCUCUA